rnacentral:rRNA from 1 species
GACGAACGCUGGCGGCGUGCUUAACACAUGCAAGUCGAACGGAAAGGCCCUGCUUGCAGGGUACUCGAGUGGCGAACGGGUGAGUAACACGUGGGUGAUCUGCCCUGCACUUCGGGAUAAGCCUGGGAAACUGGGUCUAAUACCGGAUAGGAGCCAUUUUUAGUGUGAUGGUUGGAAAGUUUUUUCGGUGUAGGAUGAGCUCGCGGCCUAUCAGCUUGUUGGUGGGGUAAUGGCCUACCAAGGCGGCGACGGGUAGCCGGCCUGAGAGGGUGGACGGCCACAUUGGGACUGAGAUAAGGCCCAGACUCCUACGGGAGGCAGCAGGGGGGAAUAUUGCACAAUGGGCGCAAGCCUGAUGCAGCGACGCCGCGUGGGGGAUGACGGCCUUCGGGUUGUAAACUCCUUUCGCUAGGGACGAAGCUUUUUGUGACGGUACCUAGAUAAGAAGCACCGGCUAACUACGUG